CGUAGGUGUGUGAGGUGCUCGCUCGAAGGCCCCCGUGGAGGAGAAGUAAACAGAAAUGUUCAUAAAUAAUCAUUAGCUAGCAUUGGCACUAUUGAUUUGCCUUUAAACAUUUUUUUUUUACAGUGAUCACUACACCAUGGCAGAUGGUGGCGAGUUGGAUAACUAUAUUAUAAUCUAUCCUACUGCCAGUAUGAUUUUUUCUUGCUUGAUGUGAAUUUUAUCGGUGUUUUAAAAGGCAAUCUAGCUAGCAAUGUCAAGGGGAUUUAUUAUGCUAUUUAAAUUGUAGUUAACUGUUUUCCAGCAGCUAGGUCGAUUGCUAUUCAUGUUAUGCUUGUAAAUGAUUAGCUAGUUAUGUUGUGCUGUUAUUCAAUCAAUUGUAGCAUUACUAGCUAACUAUCUCACUUAGCGACUGAAUUGUUUUUGAGAGAUUCAGCAAGGUAAUGUAACACCAAACAAGUAGGGAGUUAUUUUUGGGUCGCAGCUGCUGGAAAUUCAAUGUUUGGGGGAGGAUGGAGUGUGAGAAUAGAGAUUGAUGUGUGUGUGCACCAUUGAUAGUAAAAUAAUGUGCGUGCGUGAGAGAUCCUGCGCGCACUUGUCUGUGGUCAAAGGGCAGCUAUAACAGUUUCUCCCACUGAGACAAGAUACUACUGACUCAGCAGGUCAACCCAGGACACAUGAGACGUGCAUUGGAUGAGCUGUUGAAGGAAACCAAUCAGGCUGGGUGCAAGCAGAAACCAUGGGUCCAGCAGGCUGGAUGAAGUGUCCGCUGUGCAGCACUAACAAGCGUUUCCUGCUCAACACCAUUCCACAGCACUGCCCUGCUGGCCACUCAGGAGUACAGACAUCAAAUAGUAGGGGGCAGGACACCACCCAGAGACAAUUGGGAAUACAAAGACCACAGGGGACUCAGGGACAAAGACAAUCAUAGAGACAGCUGAGAACUUUGUCUCUUUUGUGUCCAUCUUUAAGACUAAGAUAGCAACACAGGCCAAGACAGCUACAAAAACAGAAGGGACUGAGACAAUGACAAUGACAGAGACAGCCAUAGAUACAAGAAACACUGACAUAAAAGAGCCUCUGGUCACAAGAGACACACAGUCCCCAUGAAAGACAUUCCCCAUCUUCUUCUAGACCAGGGUUUCCCCACCUCAGUCCUGAACCCCCCUGGGGGCAUGUUUUGUUUUUUGCCCUAGCUGAUUCAAAAUACCAACUCCUCAUCAAGCUUUGAUUUUUUUUAAUUGGCUGUGUAGUGAUAUGGCAAAAACCAAAACGUGCUCAAAACGUGCCUAAACGUGCCUAAGAGGCCUUAGGACCGAGUUUGGGAAACGCUGUUGUAGAGACCGCUCCCUCCACUGACAGUAGCUCCUCCUCCUCAUUCCACUCCAGGGCAAGCUCACACUCGAUAGGCCACACCUUCAAUCAAUCAAACCAUUGCAGCAGACCACGCUCACCUGUCAAGGACACGCCAGUGGAAGGAGCCACAUCAUAACCUUGGAGGGAGUGCUGUAAUGGUGUUACCCAGAGGAGGUCUCUCUCCCCCCCCCCAAAGACAUAAAUAUACCCAUUGAAUGACUGGAAAGAGAGUGUGUUUGUGUUAGAAUGUGAGAAAGACUGGUUGCUGUUGUAAGGUUGUGACAAGUAUAACUAAUUAAAUUGUCUUUGUUUCUACUGAUCUUUUAACUAGGAGUGUCUUUCCUAUUUCUAUUCCCUAUUUUGACAAACACUUUACCCUGUCUUGCAUUCAGCUCUGUUAAUUCAUUGUAAAUCUCUGGUACAAUCUGUAAACUGACAUUAGUGACAGUAUUAGAGCCUAGUCCUGAGUGCAAGUUGCUGGUAAAACCUUUUGAGAUAAUCAAUCCAGAUUGAGUAACUGAGUUCAGGUUAACGAAGUCAUACCUACAGGGGUACAGCUAUGACCCCAGGGUAGACUGGCUGAGGUUUCGUGUUUUCCAUUUUCACAGAUGUAAUGUGCCUUAUAAUCCAGCAGGAGAAGGUGACCUCUGCACUGACAGUACCUAGGGCCUUUGACCUUCUUUUUGCUUUUAUGUCCCUUGCACUAUGUAUAAGGAUAACUGUUUUCUCCCAACAGAGUGAACUGAUUGGGUCUUAUCAUAGGUUAUAACCAUAGGGCUCAGGGAAGUUUGUCUGGUCAGGUCGUUAACCUACCGUGUUCAAAUUUCUCUUCUCAUGUUAAUGGUUUUUAACUAAAAUAUAGUCUACAUAAUUAGUUCCACAAAAUGCAAUAAAGUAUAAAAUCCCAUAAUGUAGAAGGAUAUGUUUUGUAUAACCCUUUCGAUUGGACAUUAACUUGAGUUGCCGUUUUUAUUUCACUGUCUCUCAUAGUUUGAUUAAUGGUGCUGUAAUUUCUUCACUCAGAAUAUAUUUGAUUUUAAUGUCGUUUGAAUUCUUCUGUCGUUCCUCACAGUUGGUCGUGUUUACAUAAGGCUGUCGCCACUGGCUAAGCACUUUUUAUCGUUUCUCCCUCUUCUUGACAUGUUAAAUAAAUCAUAUCUGCUGUUUCCG